AUAAGACAUUAGUAAAAUAUUACACAACCUUGUCAUGGUUAAAUUAUAAGUUAAAACCUUAUAUGUCUUA
rnacentral:tRNA from 2 species